AAUUAUUUUCAAAUCAUUACUUAAGUUAGUAAAGGGCCACCACAUGGGUUAGUAAGGUGUGAUAUAGUUAAGUUCUAGGCUUAUAAAUAGAUCUAUAUUUCUCUUAUUCCUCAUCCAAUGAAAUUAAACCUCUCAAACAUUCUCCCUCUCGUUCUUGCCAAACUCUGCUCCAAAGUCUUGUUCUUCCAUUUUAUUGUUCUCAUUUGUUUCAUCUAUAACCAAAACCUUACCCCACAAAUAUUAUAUCAUUAUAAACUACCUCAAACUAUAUCCAUACACAACUAUAAUUAUCUGAUAUAUAUAAAUAUAUAUCCUUCAUCCUCCCAUAAAUAUAUAUAUACAUCUCCUACAUUAUAUCAACAUCACCACUCCUACAUCAUAUCAACAUCACCACUGCCACCAUUUCUGUAUAGGUUUAGUGCUCAACUAGAUAUCGGGAACUAAGGUUUGUCAUAAGAAAAUUAUUGUUUCACAAGGAUCACUCUUAUUGCAAUUAAGGUUAGGACUCCACAUUCGAGACCAAGGUAACUAAAAGUCUAGAAUGCCGGUGGCGAGUGGAACUUUGGAUGCUUGUGUGUGUGAACUCGCUGAGGGCCAUAUAACUGCGGGCGGUCUAGGGGGCUUUGUUUAUUUAUUUACGCUAUUAAAUUUUUGUCGCAAUUAUUUUAGUUAUUAUUUAUUAUGUCUUUUGUACGAAAACUGGCCAGUUGUGAAUAUUUUAGUAUUAAAUAAAAAUGUGACAUUAUGAUUUU